rnacentral:rRNA from 1 species
GACGUAGGAGGCGAGCGUUGUCCGGAUUCAUUGGGCGUAAAGAGCACGCAGGCGGUUUGGCAAGUCGGAUGUGAAAACCCGAAGCUCAACUUCGGGCCUGCAUCCGAAACUGCCCGACUAGAGGUAGGUAGGGGAGAUCGGAAUUCCUGGUGUAGCGGUGAAAUGCGCAGAUAUCAGGAGGAACACCGGUGGCGAAGGCGACUUUCUGGCCUGUUCUUGACGCUGAGGCGCGAAAGCUAGGGGAGCAAACGGG